rfam:Triticum aestivum genome assembly, contig: Triticum_aestivum_CS42_TGACv1_scaffold_564490_7AL
AAAGUACUCCCUCCAUCCCAAAAUUCUUGUCUUAGAUUUGUCUAGAUACGGAUGUAUCAAGUCACAUUUUAGUAUUAGAUACAUCCAUAUCUAGACAAAUCUAAGACAAGAAGUUUGGUUGAGGGAGUAGUUG